AUUGAACGCUGGCGGCAUGCUUUACACAUGCAAGUCGAACGGUAACAGGCCGCAAGGUGCUGACGAGUGGCGAACGGGUGAGUAAUGCAUCGGAACGUGCCCAGUCGUGGGGGAUAACGCAGCGAAAGCUGCGCUAAUACCGCAUACGAUCUCUGGAUGGAAGCGGGGGACCGAAAGGCCUCGCGCGAUUGGAGCGGCCGAUGUCAGAUUAGGUAGUUGGUGGGGUAAAGGCCCACCAAGCCAACGAUCUGUAGCUGGUCUGAGAGGACGACCAGCCACACUGGGACUGAGACACGGCCCAGACUCCUACGGGAGGCAGCAGUGGGGAAUUUUGGACAAUGGGCGCAAGCCUGAUCCAGCAAUGCCGCGUGCAGGAAGAAGGCCUUCGGGUUGUAAACUGCUUUUGUACGGAACGAAACGGCUCUGGUUAAUACCUGGGGCUAAUGACGGUACCGUGAGAAUAAGCACCGGCUAACUACGUGCCAGCAGCCGCCGUAAGAC
rnacentral:rRNA from 1 species